UUCUUCUGAAAGCACUAAGAAGGGACU
rnacentral:piRNA from 1 species